rnacentral:rRNA from 1 species
AGAGUUUGAUCCUGGCUCAGGAUAAACGCUGGCGGCGCACAUAAGACAUGCAAGUCGAACGGACUUAAUCGAAAUAUUUAUAUUUCGAAGCGGUUAGUGGCGGACUGGUGAGUAACACGUAAGCAACCUGCCUGUUAGAGGGGAACAACAGUUAGAAAUGACUGCUAAUACCGCAUAUGCCAUAGUGAGGACAUCCUCACAGUGGGAAAGGAGCAAUCCGCUAACAGAUGGGCUUGCGUCUGAUUAGCUAGUUGGUGGGGUAACGGCCUACCAAGGCGACGAUCAGUAGCCGGACUGAGAGGUUGAACGGCCACAUUGGGACUGAGAUACGGCCCAGACUCCUACGGGAGGCAGCAGUCGGGAAUAUUGGUCAAUGGGCGGAAGCCUGAACCAGCCAAGUCGCGUGAGGGAAGACGGCCCUACGGGUUGUAAACCUCUUUUGUCGGGGAGCAAUGCCGCCUUUGCGAAGGCGGAGGGAGAGUACCCGAAGAAAAAGCAUCGGCUAACUCCGUGCCAGCAGCCGCGGUAAUACGGAGGAUGCGAGCGUUAUCCGGAUUUAUUGGGUUUAAAGGGUGCGUAGGCGGAAUAUUAAGCCUGAGGUAAAAAUUCGGGGCCCAACCCCGUCCCGCCUUGGGAACUGGUAUUCUAGAGUGGUUGAGAAGUAUGCGGAAUGCGUGGUGUAGCGGUGAAAUGCAUAGAUAUCACGCAGAACGCCGAUUGCGAAGGCAGCAUACCGGCAGCCCACUGACGCUGAGGCACGAAAGCGUGGGGAUCAAACAGGAUUAGAUACCCUGGUAGUCCACGCAGUAAACGAUGGAUGUUAGCUGUUCGGAGCGAAUGAGUUCUGAGUGGCACAGCGAAAGCGUUAAACAUCCCACCUGGGGAGUACGCCGGCAACGGUGAAACUCAAAGGAAUUGAUGGGGGCCCGCACAAGCGGAGGAACAUGUGGUUUAAUUCGAUGAUACGCGAGGAACCUUACCCGGGCUUAAAUUGCACUGGACAGGCUCAGAGAUGGGCCCUUCUUCGGACCAGUGUGAAGGUGCUGCAUGGUUGUCGUCAGCUCGUGCCGUGAGGUGUCGGCUUAAGUGCCAUAACGAGCGCAACCCUUGCCUUUAGUUACUAACAGUUUAUGCUGAGGACUCUAAAGGGACUGCCAUCGUAAGAUGUGAGGAAGGUGGGGAUGACGUCAAAUCAACACGGCCCUUACGUCCGGGGCGACACACGUGUUACAAUGGCGGUCACAGAGGGAAGCUACCCUGCGAAGGGAUGCAGAUCUCGAAAAGCCGUCUCAGUUCGGACUGGAGUCUGCAACUCGACUCCACGAAGCUGGAUUCGCUAGUAAUCGCGCAUCAGCCAUGGCGCGGUGAAUACGUUCCCGGGCCUUGCACUCACCGCCCGU